AACGAACGCUGGCGGCAGGCUUAACACAUGCAAGUCGAGCGCCCCGCAAGGGGAGCGGCAGACGGGUGCGUAACGCGUGGGAAUCUACCCAUCUCUACGGAAUAACGCAUGGAAACGUGUGCUAAUACCGUAUACGUCCUUCGGGAGAAAGAUUUAUCGGAGAUGGAUGAGCCCGCGUUGGAUUAGCUAGUUGGUGGGGUAACGGCCUACCAAGGCGACGAUCCAUAGCUGGUCUGAGAGGAUGAUCAGCUACACUGGGACUGAGACACGGCCCGGACUCCUACGGGAGGCGGGGUUGGGGGAUAUUGGACAAUGGCCGCAAGCCUGAUCCAGCCAUGCCGCGUGAGUGAUGAAGGCCCUAGGGUUGAAAAGCUCUUUCACCGGUGAAGAUAAUGACGGUAACCGGAGAAGAAGCCCCGGCUAACUUCGUGCCAGCAGCCGCCGUAACAC
rnacentral:rRNA from 1 species